UACAUCAAAGAUUAUUACGAUGCAUCACACAAUAACAUGCAAAUGGGUUUAGCAAAACAAGCAUCAGCUUAUCAAACUUUCAUACAUCAAAGAUUAUUCAUAAACAGAAGAUCUUUGAAUAAAACAACAAAGAAUGAGAAAAAUACCAUCAUUUUCGUCUGUUGUUGUUAGAACUGGCUUGAAGGCUAGGGUUGAUGGGAAGCAAACUGACGGUAGAUCUUCCUUUCUUCUUUGCGGUAACACUCUCUCUUUCUAUUUCUUUUUUAGAAACCGAAAGCAAAGAAAUGAAACUCUCCCAAUUUAUAUCUUGUGAUUGUUUUUUUUUUUUUUUUCUUCCCAAUAUAUAGACUAAAACGAGGAAGGGAUGUGUUCAUCGUAUAAAUUAAUUCUUGGUUUUUAGGCUGCUUUGGUAACUAUAUCAAGCAAGCAAACUGAUACAAAUAAGGGGAAGGGUUGUGUUCAUCAUAUAAAUUAAGUUGUGGAUUUUACCCGGUUUGGCAACCAGAUCAAGCAAAUACAAUUAAGGAAACUAGGGGCUAGUCUUUUUUAAUUGAGUAUUCAACAUGAUAAAAUUAAUACCAUUAUUAGAUUGAAAAAAUAAUAAAAUUAAAAUAAAAUGAACAAAUAGAUAGAGUACAGAGAAAGAUGGAGUGCAGUGAAAGCAUGUGAGGAAGCAGGAAACAUGGUUCUGCACACGGCACACCUCAACACGCGCAACAAAGAAUCGAAAGGCAGAUGGGACCUUUUUUUUUAUUUGUUUUAUUUUGAUGUAUUUUUAAUUUUUACAAUUGUUAGAUAAAUAUACUUUUUAUUUGAAUUGUGGACAAAAUUGAGGUAUUACAAUGUCAUAACAAGUAUAUAAAAAUAAACGAAAUCAAACAUAAUAUCAAUUCUAUCUCAAGAUAAUUAUUUAUAAAAAAAAUAACUAAAAAUAAAAAAUAGUUAUAAAUAAUUGAAAUAUAAUGCAUAUUUAACAUCAGUCGAACGUACAUAAAAGUAUUACAUUAAUUGGGUACACGUAUAUACACGUAAAAUCGCAUAAAGUCUUUUUCUCUAAAAUAUAUAUUACACUAAAAUACUAUUAUCUUUUUAAAAAGUAUAUCAAAUAAUAAAAUAUAAUAUUUAUUAUUUUUAUCGCUCAUGUAAUCUAGUAUUUAUAAAAUUAGCACAUCAUAAAAAUCACCUAUAUAACGAAAAUUAGUCAGAAAAUUUAUCAUCAUAUAUUCUAAAAUAAUUUUAACAUUAAAUUAAUUAUUUAAAAUCGUACUUAACUAAUAAAAUAGUUUAUUAUUAAAUUUAGGGGGUUACAUUUGAAGGCAAAAUAAAUUUAAAUUUUAAAUUUAAUUCAAAAUAAUUAAAUAUAAAAAAAUGACAUUAAAUGAUUGAAUGUUGGAUAUUAUAUUCGAUAAAACUCUAGGGACUCUAUAAAAAGAGUUUUUAGAAAGACUUACACAUAUUAGAGUAUGAAAUAAGUCUGAAAUAUUUAUAAUAUAGUUAAAUAGAUUUAUUUUGAAAUAAAAAAAAAAGUCAAAUUUCACACAUUAAAAGACAAUUUAUUUUAAGAAUAUCCACAUAUAAAAUGCACACUUUAAAUUCAGUACUACUUUGUUUAAUAUAUGUAAACAAAACAAAUAAUAUUUAUAAAGAAAGGCAAAGUGUUUUAACUCGAAUUAUUAAUCUCUUUAUAAUAUUAUUGUUAUUUACUAUAUCUCAUCUCUAGUAAUUACUCCACUAACUAUUUUUAAUAAGAGUAUUUUAUUAAAUAAAAUUUAUUUUAUUAUUAAAAUAAAAUAAACAAUUCAUUUAUUAAAAAUUAUGCAGAAACACAUAAAAAAAUAGACGGAAUAAGUAAAUAAACUUUUAUUAUUAAACAUUAUAAAAACAUUCCACUGCCUUAACUAUCAUAAUUUUAUCCAGAAUUGAUAAUUUUAUCCAGAAUUGUGAGAAUGAGAAGGUGCAGAACUCGAAGUUCCAAUACCAUAACUAGAAGGAGAAGGUGCAGGACUCGAAGUUCCAAAAUUUAAAUUUGCACGAGGCGGAGGUGGUUUAUAAUUGUGUCUUUUACUACCUUGUGAUGGCGCAACAGGACCUUUUGGUAAUACUCCAAAAUAAAAAUUUGCACGAGGUGGAGGUGGUUUAUAAUUGUGUCUUUUACUACCUUGUGAUGGCGAAACAGGACCUUUUGGUAAUACUCCAAAAUAAAAAUUAUGGUGAGCAGGUGAUAGAGGUCCUGACGGCGGAAUGCGCAUACCUUUUGGCAAUAUUUUAAAGGGAUGAUCGCCCAUAACAAGAGAAAAAAACAAGAAACACAAAGUACCAAAAAAAUAAGCCAUUGAAAUAUUCAUCUCUCCAAUUUUGAAAUUAGGUGUGGUAAAACAAGGUAUAAAUAAGCUUUAUGUUUAUCAUUAGAAGAAAGAUUUUCAUGUGCUUAUUAUUUUUUUGACUGACUUUUAUUGAGUAUUUCUUUAACUGACAUUACUUUUCUAUAAAGAUUUAAAGGGCAAAAAGUGUUAAAUAAUUAAUUUGGUAUUAAAAUUAUUUUAAAAUAUAUGUUGACUAGUUUUAUGAUUAAUUUUCUUUAGAGGUGUGUUUCUAUGAUGUAUUAAUCUUGUAUAUAUUUGAUCAAAUAUGUUAUAUGAAUAAUAAUGUUAUAUUUUAUUAUUUUAUAUAUUUUUUUUUAAAAUAAUAGUAUGUUAGUAUAAAUAUUUUGAAGAAUAAGAUUUAAGCCAUUUUAUGUAAAUAUGUGAGUUUGUAAUUAAUAUGAUUUUAUUGUGUGUUUGACUAAUAUUAAAUGUGCACUUAAUUAUAUUUAAUUAUUUUUAAAUAUAUCUUAUUUUAAAUAUUUUUUUUUUAUAAAUAAUUAUCUUGAGUUAGUAGUAACAUUGUGAUUGAUUUUCUUUAUUUUUAUAUACUUAUUUUGGAAUUGUAAUUUUAUAUAUAUAUAUAUAUAUAUAUUGAUUAUGAUUUAGUAAUUAACAUAAAAUAUUGUUGUUAUAUUUAUUUAUUUUAUAAUUUUGACUAUUCUCUAACGAUAGUAUUAUUAUAACGUGAGUAUUUUGAAAAAUAAGUAUAAUUAUAGUGAUUAAUUUGAAUAUGAGAGUUUGAGUUGUUAAUAACAAUUAUUUUUUUAAAAGGUUAAUUAUUUUAAUUACUCUAAUUUAUCAUUUAUUAGUUAUCAAAUGUUAGUAAUGUUUUGAAAAUUAAUUGCUAUUUGGAAGAGUAUUAAGAAUGAGAUUAAGUAACAAUUAAUUUUAUUUUAACAAAAUAAAAAUAAUAAUAGUAAAAUAUAAAAUAAAUAAGGGGACUAAUGGACUUGACUCAUGUAUGUUAACCAUAAUUAUAUUAGUAAAAUAAAAAUAUAAUAAUAAGGAAGGGAAAUCUUUCCCAGCUGCCAGAAAAAAAAAAUAGGAGUGUUACACAACUUUCGCUUGACAUCGAUGAUUGUUAAUUGUUCUAGAAACUUUUCUUUGUUUUCUUUCAAUUUUUUUACGUUGUUUCACUCAUUUAGUUAAUCAAUUUUAACACAUUUUUUCAAAUUUUGUAUCAUCCAAAUUUCUUUCUAAAAUAUGCCACUUCUCUGUUUCUGGAAUUUAUUAUUUUGAUCGUUCUUCUUUAUCGUAAGUUUGAUUUGAGUGAAACCAGCGCCAAAACGAUCAUGUGAAAAGUGGUUAUAUUGUCCACUGAUUGAUUUUUUGAUUUAUGGUAAGUUUCCUUGACCUAAUUUCGAAAUUAAUUUUUAGAGUCAAAAUCUAUUUUGGAAGUUACCUAUAAAUUAUCGAGUUAGAUCGAUUGAAUGACAAAAAUUCAAGGAACAAAAGUUAUUUGCUCGUUUUAUCAUAUUCCGUCGAAAUAAGGUAAGAGAUGAGAGUUCGUUUGAAUUCAUGAGUAUAAUAUAUUAUGAGAUGAACGGUAAAACUGUAUUUUCCACCAAUUCAUUUGGGGUUUGCUAAUACGACAGUAGCCAUUUUAGGGAUAAAUUAAUUAGUGUGCAAAUAUGGAAAUUGUGAGACUAAAAUAUGGAAUAGAAAUAUUUAUAAGGUGUUGAUUGAUUUAAUUUUUAUUAAAUGUGUGCUAUUUGAUAUUGUUGUGAUAUUGAUUGUCAAAUGAAUUAUAUAUAUAUGUUUGAUUAGACGGUUUAUGUGAUGUGAUAAUAAAAUGUGAAUUUAUUUUGAUAAGUUUAUGUGAUUAUGAUGAUAUAUAAUUAAUAAUAAUGAUGUUAUAAAUUUGUGAUAAGUCUAUGUGAUGAUGCAUGAUUGAUGAUAAUGAUACUAUAACAUUGUGAUGGGUUUAUAUGAUGAGAUAUGAUUAAUGAUAGUGAUGUUGUGAAUUUGUGAUGAAAAUAUUGAAGUAUCCCCAUAGUUGGUGAAAUAAUUGUGAUUCCAAUUUGGUGUUUGAGAUGAAGUCUUAAUGGAGUAUCAUAGGCCAACGAGGAGAUAAAAUAAAUAUUGAGAAUCUUUGAAGUAGAGAUUAUUUUGUCAUCAUAUAGGUAGAGUCUGACAAGCCUAGUGAUUCCGGGGAAGUACAAUUGAAUGAGUCUAAUCGUGUCGGUUUGUUGUUGAGCCUUAAGGCAAAAUUGUUAUGCCUUGGAGGUAUUCAGGUGGGGAAUUUCUAGGUGACUUGGAGUUAGCACUCCAAAUAUCGAGAGCUACCAUGCAACACACAUUUACCUCGAUUGUCGCAUAUAUGUGUCUCGAUUUGAGUUGAGGUGAUUUAUGAGGACAUGACCAAUUUGAAUUCUCCGCCCACCGAGAUGGUGGCAUAGUAUCAAGCCUCCUAACCAAGUACUUCAGAGUUAGAAUGGUAGCACAUUGUGAAGUAGAGUCUAAGCUCAUGCAUAUCACUGCACUUUCUUGUGAUUGUUUUGUUGUUAUUGAUGUAUUUCAAAAGUAAUAAUAGUUUCUCUUAGAUGAUUUGAUGCAUGUUAGAAUGAGAUAAUUAUUUCGAAACUCACCUCCUUCGUUGUUUGUGUUUGACUGGCUUGGUCAUGCGUUUGCAAAAUCGUAGUUGUUACAGGUUAAUGAGCAUUGAACUUCAAGUUUGAGAGGAACACCGCUCUGAUAUGUGAUACAGGGAAUAAAUGUUGUAAUUUGUAUUUCACUUAUUUAAUUUGAAACGACAUUUUGUAUGAAAACCUCAUAAGUACUAGUAAGUUUUUAGAAUUAAAUCAAAUAAUUAACUUAAA
rnacentral:lncRNA from 1 species